CCUUGCUUUUUAACCUCCCAGAAGCAUGACAGUGUAGCAAGUGGAGGUGCGAAGAUCCUUUGAUCCCUGAGAUAUGCACAGUCCUGUCCUAUUUGACAGGGCUUGACACUGCUGACUGCUUGUGAGGGACGCUGCAGAGAUGUAAUGAUGCCUUGUUUUUACUCUAAUGAUCUAGUAACAAGGUCUAUGUGACUGUCCCCUCAUUAUUACACGUUCUUUUCUUAUCAUGUAAAUAAAUGCAGCCAGCAGCCUGGCUGGUGAAGGCGUGA